GUUGGAUUUCCAGGAAAAAUGAUUGAUAAAUCAGUUAUUUUUUUUUUUUAUAAGUUAAAAGAAUUCUUACUACUUUAUCUGUAUAACACCUGAAUCCAUUCGCUGAUCUCAGCGUUUAGUUAUAAAACUCAUAAUUCUCCUGCACUCACAGGUUCGAAUUUUUGAUUCCGAAAUUUUCGUUACUACCUGUGCUAGAAAAAAAAACGAAAAAGAUUCUCGAAGCAAUCGAUUUUCUGACUUUUUUUUUCUCGUACCUGUAAUCACAAAAAGCACUCCGGUAAUUCCGGAAGCGUAUUUUAAGUCCGAACGGGAAAGGCCACCAUUCACUCCGAUGCGGAUGCCGACUCUAAUGAGAUUGGAUGGACACAACCAGUAAUGAAUCCAUCGCGUGAUGUCUGCCUCCCGUCCUUUCGGACAUCGAUUUUCGGGCGGAGCCUGUGCCAUGGUGAGGACUUUCUGUCUUUUACUCUUGCUGCCGAAUUCCCGCCCAUUCGUUGGCCCGACGCUGCUUAUCCCGUUUCACUCAACGAAAUCCUCACCGAAACCUUCUACUUUACACGUGGAAACCUGCCAUUAAGCAUUUUCUCGCCAGUACUAGAAUUGAAACUCCAGUUGAAACAGUUUAGGAAAAAGGGGAUCUCUGAUAUGUGUGCAUUUCGAAGAAUAUCUCGCAUAUAAAAUUCCACUGUUCACUUUUUUUUCGUCUCAUCUAAUACCCGACAACCGUUUCACAUUUACUACUGAUUUCUGCUCU
rnacentral:lncRNA from 1 species